UACGUAGGGUGCAAGCGUUAAUCGGAAUUACUGGGCGUAAAGCGUGCGCAGGCGGAUGUUUAAGUUAGAAGUGAAAUCCCCGGGCUCAACCUGGGAAUGGCUUUUAAGACUGGGCAUCUAGAGUUUGUCAGAGGGGGGUGGAAUUCCAAGUGUAGCAGUGAAAUGCGUAGAGAUUUGGAGGAACACCGAUGGCGAAGGCAGCCCCCUGGGAUAAAACUGACGCUCAUGCACGAAAGCGUGGGUAGCAAACAGG
rnacentral:rRNA from 1 species